rnacentral:rRNA from 1 species
UACGGAGGGUGCAAGCGUUAUCCGGAUUCACUGGGUUUAAAGGGUGCGUAGGUGGGCAAGUAAGUCAGUGGUGAAAUCUCCGGGCUUAACCCGGAAACUGCCAUUGAUACUAUUUGUCUUGAAUACUGUGGAGGUCAGCGGAAUGAUGUCAUGUAGCGGUGAAAUGCUUAGAUAUGACAUAGAACACCAAUUGCGAAAGGCAGCUGGCUACACAAUUAUUGACACUG